rnacentral:tRNA from 1 species
GAUCCGUUAGCUCAGUUGGAUAGAGCGACUGCCUCCUAAGCAGUAGGUCGGACGUUCGAAUCGUCUACGGGUCA